rnacentral:rRNA from 1 species
CUUGAACGCUGGCGGCAGGCCUAACACAUGCAAGUCGAACGGUAGCACAGAGAGCUUGCUCUCGGGUGACGAGUGGCGGACGGGUGAGUAAUGUCUGGGAAACUGCCCGAUGGAGGGGGAUAACUACUGGAAACGGUAGCUAAUACCGCAUAACGUCGCAAGACCAAAGAGGGGGACCUUCGGGCCUCUUGCCAUCGGAUGUGCCCAGAUGGGAUUAGCUUGUUGGUGAGGUAAUGGCUCACCAAGGCGACGAUCCCUAGCUGUUCUGAGAGGAUGACCAGCCACACUGGAACUGAGACACGGUCCAGACUCCUACGGGAGGCAGCAGUGGGGGAAUAUUGCACAAUGGCGCAAGCCUUGAUGCAGCCAUGCCGCGUGUGUGAAGAAGGCCUUCGGUUUUAAAGCACUUUCAGCGGGGAGGAGGCAAUCCGGUUAAAAACCGGGUUGAUUGACGUUUCCCCCAAAAAAAGCCCCGGUUAAUUCUUGCCAAAAGCCCGGGGGAAUACGGGGGGGGCAACCGUUAAUCGGAAUACUGGGCGUAAAAGCCCCCCGGGCGGUUUUUGAAAGGCGGUUGGAAAAACCCCGGUUCAACCUGGGAACUUCGUUUCAAAAUUGGCCGGGUUUUGAUUUUUUUAAAGGGGGGGGAAAAAUUCCCGGGGUUGCGCGGUAAAAAACCACAAAAAAAUUUGGGGGGAAAGACCCGGGGGGGCAAGGGGGAGCCCUUUUGGCAAAAAAAAUUGCCCCUUUAAUUACCAAAAAGCGGGGGGGGGGCCAACCCGGGUUUUAAAACCCCCGUGGGGGGGCCUCCCCCCCGAAAAAAAAUUUUCCAGUUCGGGGGGGUUUACCCCUUUUGGUGGGGGGGUUUUUCCCGGGGAAAAACCCCCUUAAAAAAGACCCCCCUUGGGA